GGGUGAGUAAUGCGUAGGGAUCUACCUCGUAGAGGGGGACAACCCGGGGAAACUCGGGCUAAUACCGCAUAAACUCUGCGGAGCAAAGGGUGGGACCAUUAUGGCCAUCCGCUGCGAGAUGACCCUGCGUCAGAUUAGCUAGUUGGUAGGGUAAAGGCCUACCAAGGCGAGGAUCUGUAGCUGGUUUGAGAGGAUGAUCAGCC
rnacentral:rRNA from 1 species